UUUUAAUGAGAGUUUGAUCCUGGCUCAGGACGAACGCUGGCGGCGUGCCUAAUACAUGCAAGUAGAACGCUGAAGUCUGGUGCUUGCACUAGACGGAUGAGUUGCGAACGGGUGAGUAACGCGUAGGUAACCUGCCUCAUAGCGGGGGAUAACUAUUGGAAACGAUAGCUAAUACCGCAUAACAGUAUUUAC
rnacentral:rRNA from 1 species